rnacentral:rRNA from 1 species
UAGGGAAUCUUCGGCAAUGGACGAAAGUCUGACCGAGCAACGCCGCGUGAGUGAAGAAGGUUUUCGGAUCGUAAAACUCUGUUGUUAGAGAAGAACAAGGACGUUAGUAACUGAACGUCCCCUGACGGUAUCUAACCAGAAAGCCACGGCUAACUACGUGCCAGCAGCCGCGGUAAUACGUAGGUGGCAAGCGUUGUCCGGAUUUAUUGGGCGUAAAGCGAGCGCAGGCGGUUUCUUAAGUCUGAUGUGAAAGCCCCCGGCUCAACCGGGGAGGGUCAUUGGAAACUGGGAGACUUGAGUGCAGAAGAGGAGAGUGGAAUUCCAUGUGUAGCAGUGAAAUGCGUAGAUAUAUGGAGGAACACCAGUGGCGAAGGCGGCUCUCUGGUCUGUAACUGUCGCUGAGGCUCGAAAGCGUGGGAAGCAAACAGG